rnacentral:rRNA from 1 species
AUUGAACGCUGGCGGCAUGCCUUACGCAUGCAAGUCGAACGGCAGCAUGAUCUAGCUUGCUAGAUUGAUGGCGAGUGGCGAACGGGUGAGUAAUACAUCGGAACGUGCCCUGUAGUGGGGGAUAACUAGUCGAAAGAUUAGCUAAUACCGCAUACGACCUGAGGGUGAAAGUGGGGGACCGCAAGGCCUCAUGCUAUAGGAGCGGCCGAUGUCUGAUUAGCUAGUUGGUGAGGUACAGGCUCACCAAGGCGACGAUCAGUAGCUGGUCUGAGAGGACGAUCAGCCACACUGGAACUGAGACACGGCCCAGACUCCUACGGGAGGCAGCAGUGGGGAAUUUUGGACAAUGGGCGAAAGCCUGAUCCAGCAAUGCCGCGUGUGUGAAGAAGGCCUUCGGGUUGUAAAGCACUUUUGUCCGGAAAGAAAUGGCUCUGGUUAAUACCUGGGGUCGAUGACGGUACCGGAAGAAUAAGGACCGGCUAACUACGUG